GUAUUUUGAAUUAUUUUAUUCAUAAUAUUUUUCAGACAAAGAGUUAAAGAAUAAGUUGAUGUUUGGUCAUUCUCAAAAAAGAGAACAACUGACAUUGCACACAAGGUGGAUAUGGAUUUAAAAAGUGCCAUAAAACACUUAUUAUGAAUGAUCCUUCCGCAGGUUCACCUACGGAAA
rnacentral:misc_RNA from 1 species